rnacentral:rRNA from 1 species
AUUCCCCUAGUAACUGCGAGUGAAGCGGGAAAAGCUCAAAUUUAAAAUCUGGCGGUCUUUGGCCGUCCGAGUUGUAGUCUGGAGAAGUGCUUUCCGCGCUGGACCGUGUAUAAGUCUCUUGGAACAGAGCGUCAUAGAGGGUGAGAAUCCCGUCUUUGACACGGACUACCAGUGCUUUGUGAUGCGCUCUCAAAGAGUCGCGUUGUUUGGGAAUGCAGCGCAAAAUGGGUGGUGAAUUCCAUCUAAAGCUAAAUAUUGGCGAGAGACCGAUAGCGAACAAGUACCGUGAGGGAAAGAUGAAAAGCACUUUGGAAAGAGAGUUAAACAGUACGUGAAAUUGCUGAAAGGGAAACGCUUGAAGUCAGUCGCGUUGUCCGGGACUCAGCCUUGCUUCGGCUUGGUGCACUUUCCGGAUGACGGGCCAGCAUCGAUUUUGACCGCUGGAAAAGGGCUGGAGGAAUGUGGCACCUUUUGGUGUGUUAUAGCCUYCAGUCGCAUACGGCGGUUGGGAUCGAGGAACGCAGCACGCCUUACGGGGGGGUUCGCCCACCUUCGUGCUUAGGAUGCUGGCAUAAUGGCUUUAAACGACCCGUCUUGAAACACGGACCAAGGAGUCUAACAUGCCUGCGAGUGUUUGGGUGGAAAACCCGAGCGCGUAAUGAAAGUGAAAGUCGGGACCUCUGUCGUGGAGGGCACCGACGCCCGGACCUGACGUUCUCUGACGGAUCCGCGGUAGAGCAUGUAUGUUGGGACCCGAAAGAUGGUGAACUAUGCCUGAAUAGGGUGAAGCCAGAGGAAACUCUGGUGGAGGCUCGYAGCGAUUCUGACGUGCAAAUCGAUCGUCAAAUUUGGGUAUAGGGGCGA